CCGACGGUGAGGGACGAAAGCUGGGGGAGCAAACCGGAUUAGAUACCCGGGUAGUCCCAGCCGUAAACGAUGUGCGUUAGGUGUAUCGGUGACCACGAGUCACCGAGGUGCCGAAGAGAAAUCGUGGAACGUACCGCCUGGGAAGUACGGUCGCAAGGCUGAAACUUAAAGGAAUUGGCGGGGGAGCACCACAACAGGUGGAGCCUGCGGUUUAAUCGGACUCAACGCCGGGAAACUCACCAGAUAAGACAGCUGAAUGAUAGUCGGGCUGAAGACUCUACUUGACUAGCUGAGAGGAGGUGCAUGGCCGUCGUCAGUUCGUACUGUGAAGCAUCCUGUUAAGUCAGGCAACGAGCGAGACCCACGCCAACAGUUGCU
rnacentral:rRNA from 1 species